CUCUCUUUUGUGGACUUCAGAAUCACAAUGCUUGCUAUGCAAAAAAUAGCUCCCUUACAAAGUCUAUAAAGGUCACGGUCACCAGUUUAUGUAGAUUCACUAUUGACUCUUUAAGACCUUUCUCAAGGCAUUUGUGUAAAACUUCAUGAACUUUGUUUAUCUUUUCUCAACCCACUCAAAGAACUCCCAUACUGCUUUGGUUGCUCGAUUACCUAUUGACAAUGCUUGCUUUUGUGCAAAAUUAGCUGUCAUAGGUAUCCGAAAUCCAUAUGGAUUAAUUGUUGAUGUUUAGAGAUUCGUCAAACACUACCUUGCAGAAUUUUGGUAAAACUACAGGAUAUUUGCAUUUCUAAAAAUAUGAGAGUUGGAUCAACUCAUAAUUAUCAUUAUCAGGAAAAAUAUCAUAAGCUAGUGGUAUAUCUGAGUUAGCUUGAAUCUGUUGUGAAAUUGUCGAGCAGAUUCUUUAGCAAACAAAUAACUUUUACAACUGUCCCAUGAGGUUUUGAAGCUAUCGUUGCCUUCUUUAGCUUAGUUUUAAACUUAUUUUUCUGCCUGAUUCACACAGGACCUCAAGUCUCCGGACCAAUUGUUACUUGCUAGAUUAUUCAGUGCAAUUUUAAUUAUCUUCUGUUUUGAUGCCGAUGAAACUUGAAAGCACUAGGAGGUAGGAAGUGUGGGAGGACGGAAAAAUAUUGUUUGUCAAGGAAUCAGGUUCAUGGAUAGAUCAUGAAAAAGCCCUACCAGUAACAACCUUUUAUUUCUUGCAUUAUAAUUUCUAAAACUCAUCAUCAUGCAUCCCUAAGCAGACAACAGAUAAUAGACAACUCUUUGUAGGCUUCAUCCUUUUCGUGUAAAGUUUCAGUUGGUUUGAGAUACUCUUAUUAGCACUGUGUCCUUUCAUUUGGGUAUUGAUCUUAGAGUGAAGCUUGUUUUUGCAUCACGGUAAGCAGAAGUGAUGGGAUUCUGUUGUCUGUGAUUAUUCAACUUUUAAAAGGGGAUGCCAUACGAAGGUCCUUUCUCCCAUCUGCUGCCUAAGCCUUGUUGGGUAGAGUUAGCCGGUACCUGUGCUAGUGGGAGGUAGUAGGCACCCGACGGGAUAGUCGAGAAGCGCGCAAGCUAGCCCGGACACCACGUUAUCCCAAAAAAAGGGAUGUCAGACGAAGGUGUCCUUUUAACCUAAGUUGCUUAGACUCUUCACUGUCGGUGCCACACCCGUGUCGACAUAACAUGGAUAUGGGAUCCGUACUAGAUGUAGUCAAUCGAUUUUGGGUACUUUAACGAAAAUCAACGGAAAAAUUUGAGACAAAUACAACGAUUUCUGGAAUCAAAACAAAAGGUAGGGUGAAAUUGAAGAAAUAAAAUACCUUGUAUGUAGAAACUUCUAUGCCAGUCCUUUUCCUUUUAUCUCCUUCUCGGAUUUAGUCACCACUUAAGUUUUUCAGAUAAUGUCUCAUAAUUUAGGUAUGUGUUUAUAACUUGAUAUUUAAUGAAUUAUUUUUAGUUGAAUCCCUACUCCAGGAUCCGUACCUGGAUCCGUACUCCUGAAUCUUAAAAUUUAGAUCACGAAGGACCUAACCUCUAGAUCCACACCCAUACCGGACACUCGCUCCCGAGUCCGAGCAACUUAGCUUUUAACGGGAGAGAUAGGAUAUAGAUUGUUUACUUGGAUUUUGUUUAUCUAAGAACGUGUAGCUUUCUUGUCCCCAAGAGAUGGUGAAAUGGUUGAGGGAUGACAAUAAUACCUGGAGAUUGCAGGUACAUAUCAUAGCUACAACACUUAGUUCGACCCUAUCUGCUACAUCCUUGAUGGGAAACCUUGGCAAUAUGCGCUUGUCGGUUGGACAAUCUGCCUGCGCGGUGGAUUAGUUGAGGUUAAUGAAAGCCCGUAUCAAGAUGGAUGGAUCAUAAAGGUGGAGAUGAACAAUAACGACGAGCUCAAAUCCUUGAUGGACCAUGACCAGUACUCCAAGUUCUGUGAAGAAGAAGAUGCAAAACAUUGAUUUGAAGCCUGAUGGAGUUGAGAAAGAAACAUUUUUCUUGCAGGAUUUGUUUUGUGCAUUGUGAGGCUAAUUCCCAAUUCCAGGGAACUGAAAUAUUCUACUAGUGAUUUCUUAGGUGUUUAAUUUAACACGCUGCAUUUCAUCAUUUCUUCUAGUUUGACAGAAUAAUUUGCUUUUUUCUGGCUUUGCAUUUAAUUCCCUUUGUUUUCUUUUGAUUUUCAUCAACAUUGGCAUUGUUUUACGUUAAUAUGCAUGUUCCUUUAUACAAACUAGGCACAAGGUUAAUUUU